rnacentral:pre_miRNA from 1 species
CUUGCUGUUUCUGUUUACAAAGUGUGUAUAUUGUCUCACAUGGCUAGUUGCCUUGCUGUCUACAAAGUGUGUUCAGACAAUAUACACACUUUGUAAACAGAGACAGGC